CCGUCUAGCUCAGUUGGU
rnacentral:siRNA from 1 species